UUUUCUGCCCCGAAUACAUUAGCAUGGGAUAAUGGAAUAGGACCCUGUCCUCCUAUUUUCAGUUGGUUUUGGCCGCGCGAGGACUAGGGUAUUGAUUAAUAGGGAUAGUUGGGGGCAUUAAUAUUUACUUGUCACACGUGAAUUUCUUGGAUUUAUAAAAAAUUAACUUCUGCGAAAGCCUCUGCCAAAGAUGUUUUCUUUAAUCACCAACGAAUUUUACGGGAACGAAUACAAUCAAAUACCCCCCAAGUCCCCACCAUAAACGAUGCCCACCACCGAUUAGGACACAUUGAAUACAAAACACCACCAUCGGGGCGGUCUUCCUUGGCCCCUGUCCCUUUCAUCGGGGGCAUGAAACUGGGACGGUCUGGCCCGGAGCCCCCGGUUAUUGACUCCCUAAAAAUUUGGGAAAA
rnacentral:rRNA from 1 species